GGCAUGGGCCUAACACAGCCUUGUUUAUGUCUUUUACGUUUCGCACAAGAUACAUAUAUAUACACCUUAAGGGGAAUUAAAAGCCUAAUGACGAAUGAAAUUACUUUUGAAGCUGGGCUUUGUGUUACUCUGUGUGCUUCAGACAGAGAAUUAGAACAGGGGGGAAGGACAAUAGCUACUUGGUAGCCAUCAGCUUCCUUAUAAUAAUGUCUAUUCAAUGUGGAACUACAUCCUUGAAAGUUUCUUGUGCACGAAAAUUAGUCUUUUACAUUUAUGUUUUAGCUGUUGAUCAUUUCUUGCUGGAGUGUCAUAUAUUUUUCUUAUAUGAAACUAACCUGUCUACAGAUUAGUUUAAUUGCAUUACAUAACACUCUUCUUGAUUGGAGAAAUUUGGUGUUUGACCUGGCCAUCAUCAAAUGUCUAUCUUUUGCCAUUAUGUCAUGGACAGCCUAACAUCUUCUCCAUUGAUGCAUUUCUAACUUUCCUGAGCUUUACAGACAAGAGGUUGACCUAGUUGAGUUUUAGUUCAAGUUAGACAUUUUCUUCACCAAUGCCAAUUUAUAAAUAUCCUGAAAUUCCAAAGCAGUUUAAGUCCACCUGUAGCUUCUUUCAUCCAAAAUGGUCUGCUUCAAAGCUCUUCUGGUGUUCUGAACAACUUUUCUAUUUCAAAACUUGUACCCUUUUUUUGACGAAAACUGAUAUUCAUCUUCUUAUGGUGAUAAUCGAUUAUUUAUAUGUUUUAACAUUACUAACAUAUAAAGAUAUCCAAGAUUUUCUGUGAUUUUAAGUCUUAUACCAGCAUGUUUGCUUACACGAUGUGAUUUAAUCAGUUCUGUCGUCUUAAUGAUGUCAAGAUACAGUGCUUAGGGAGAAUUUUGGACUCUAUAACUAUGGAGUCAAUAAUUGAUGUUUGCAGAAUUUCCUGGUCACAGUCAAUAAUUGAUGUUUGCAGAAUUUCCUGGUCACUGAUUUCACACUGCAGUGAUGCUCAAUUUGGACAUGUUAGAGCAGUUGUAGGCCCUUAAUCGCUUGCGAUGCUGGAUUUGUCCACAUUAUAGAUGCUGGCCAAAAAGAGUGUCAACUAUGCUGACUUCCCAUUUUGAUACCUAACCCCGACAAUGACUAGUGUAAUUUGUGGUGGAAAGGGAAAUUUCUUCCAUCUAUCCAGUUGAACACACCACACACACACACAGAGACACUCUCUAUCUUCCUCUCUCUGUGUCACAGACACAUAUUGGUUGACGGCCCACCAUUGAUUUGUGUGCUUUUUCAACCUUGGUCACGAAUAAUGGUUCAUAGGUGAAACUCUUGGCUUGUGAAAAGCUCAUCUAGAUGUUUUGAUUUGUCAUGGUAAAGAAACCUAAGUUUCUUAUAUAGCAUAAUUUCCGAGGAACUCAUAAAUGGCCUUGUUCAUUUGGUAGGUGCACCUUGUUAGUACCACCAAGUUGAAGGAUGAGAUGGAUCCUGGCCAAUAACUGUUUAUGUCUUAGCACAUGGUCGAAGGUGGAAACUUGCAAUGGGCAAUGGAGAUCUCAAAAGUUUUGCUUACUGAAGGCCUGCCGAAGUAAACAUGUGAUGGUAUGGUUUCAGGCGUUCAGCAGGUAGUGUUUUCUUUCUUCUCUUUUUGGCUUGUUAGAAAUAUUGUCAAUUUCUAUCUACCAAGAUGAAUAAACAAGAGGAUAUAGAGCUAUGGUAUUAGAAAGAAGAUGUACAAAGAUUUAUGUAUGAAUCACAAUAGAUAUUGCUUUUCAAUCUGCAAUCCACCACAUGAUUUAUGUGUGAAUUUGGACGGUUUUAGAACUUAAAUGUUUAUCUCUCUUCUUAAUUGUAAUUUACUGUUUUGCAAAUUGUUGGUAUAUGACAUUGUGAUAACUAUCAUUCUUGGGUUCUUAAGGGUGAGGUUUUUCUCAAGUAUUUUUCAGCAAAGUUGUUUUCCAUGAGAAAAUUUCAGAAAAAUUUUGGUAAUUUAAAAAGUUCCUAAAAAUUAGAUAAAAAUAAGAUAAAUGAGAAAUUAAUAAGAAAACAUAAAUGAUAACUAGAGAAAAUGAUAAAAAUCAUGUUUCUGUAAUAAAUGUCACAAAUAUCAUGAGGUUUUUGAAAAUCACGCGAUCUUUACCAGAAAAUGAAAUAAAACGAAAGAAUAGGAAAAAAUCUUGAGAUUUGGAAAAUCUUGCCAAAAAUAAAAAUCUCGUGAAUUUCUGACGAAUUUAUCACGAUUUUUUCUUGAGAUUUUAAUAUUUUUCAUUUUUUUUAGUUUUAAUGUUUUUAUGAUUUUUUAAUUUUAAAAAAUUGUCAAGAUUUUCUCGAGAAGAACUUUGCUGAAAGAUACCCGAGAAAAACUAUGCCGAGAUUUUUCUAAGGGCGAUAUUUGUGGCAAUGUUAGUAAUGUAUAAAGAUAAAUAAUUUAACCUAACUUCUAAACUUUAAAGACAAAUAACGUAAAAGUAACACCAAAAGAUGUGAUCAAAAUGCAAAAAAAUGCGUUGAUAUCAGGUCUUCUUCAAAAAAGACGUGAUAUUCGUUGCAGUGGUAUAUGAUAUUAGUUCAAAUUUCCUAUCCAGGUAGAAGCUAGUAGUAGAACUGGAUGUUUUUCAGUCUACACUACACACAUUUGUGCUGAAAGUUUUGAUUAUCAUUUCUCUUGGGUACCAAUUUGGAUUGUGAGUCUACAAGCGAACCAUUGUGUUGACAAAUGUCACUAGUAAUCACCCUGUUUCAAAUUGCAUUAUCUGGGUGAGCUUAAGCCUUAACUGCAGUUCUACGACAGCUAUUCUUUGGUGGUAUUCUUUGCGUCCUCUUUAAGCAAGAAGUUUUGGGCUCACAUCUAGCUUUGUUUGGUUUUGUGUUCUUGACAAUGUUCCUUAAAGUAGCAGUUGGGAUUGCUGAAGAGUUCUUAUGUGCAUAUCCUAUGUAUAUAUAAUAGCUAGUUCCUUUCUUGUUGCUCAUUGUUUCAAAUUGGGAUAUUCCUCGUUGACGGGCUUAACAGGAAAAGUGGUAGAACUGGAACUUUCCAUGAUACAGAAAAAGUGGUGAAUUUAAGUGCACAUAAAAUGUGAAUCUAACUUGCCGUAGAGUCCAUUGUUUCAUAUGGCUGAUCAUGCAUCUACUCUAUUCAGACACAGUUUUCUUCUACUUGUUUCAUCUAUGAAGAGUCUACGGGUGAACCCUUGAGUCUUGACAAAGCUUGAUAGACAGCAAACAUGAAAUGACUGAAGAUAUGACAAAAUAAGAGUAAAAACAAUGUCCAUGGUAGACGACGAGCAUUUGGAUGGACUGCAAGGUGAGUUCUAUUAUAGAGGAUCAACCUUGUUCUUGUACUGAGUGGAUGUUAUCUGUUGCCACAAAUUAACUACAGUAGAUCUCUCAAUUUCCGACAGGCAUGUACACUAUUCUGAUUGUUACUUAGUUUCAUGUCCUCUGAACAUGUUGCAUCUCAUUCUUGUUUUUUAAUGCUUGACAUUUUACAGGGAACAAUAGCUUCUGUUGGGAAACGCCUCCAAGUUGACAGGAUAGAAUGACAUCUUUCCUUGGUUUUUUAACAUACAAUCAAACCAGCCAUUAUAUAUUUCAGCAUGUAUUAGUUCUUCAGUCUUCAGAUGGCUGCGUAGCUCGAAUCGUUGUAUUACAUGUUUCAUUCAGUUACAGAUCCUAUACUGAUAAACAAUAUUCUAUUGAUCUUUCCUUAUUAAUUCAUGAACGAAAUGUUUUUCUAGCAUCAGGUACUGGCAAACCAAAAUUAAUUUGAGUUUGCGAAGAUUAUAAAGAAUGGAUAAGUCCUUCAUCCAUUCUCAUCUGCAACUAAUCCUUAUUGGUUUUAAACUUUACCUUCAGAAAGGGAUUAUAGGGUUGCUAGGCUGGAUUGCUAUUCAUCAAGAAAUUAUUUUAUCUUGUCUUACUAGCUAAUUUUGUCAGUUAAUUUUUAUCUUUUCUAACAGAUGCAUGGAGGAUAACCAAAGAGGGGCUUGUGGCGUUGUGCUGUGUUAUGCUGAUUUGUGAUUUAUUUUCCAUCUCCCACUUUCAACAAGAAAGCUCCCGAAGAGGGUGUGGAUCACUAUUGGAACUAAUUGGUGCAUUAUAUAUUCUCAACUGUACAACUUUUUUGUAGGUGUCACCCACCGAAGGCCAUGUUUGGAUGGCACUUUUUGGGGUUCAAACCUUGUAUUUAUAUAUAUAUAUAUAAAAGAAGCUGCAUUUGAGGGGA